UUUCUCCGCCGGCGACCGGCGCACGGGUGAGUAACACGUAUGCAACCUGCCCCUCGUCAGGGGGACAACCCGCCGAAAGGCGGGCUAAACCCGCGUACAUGCCACCGGGGCAUCCCGGAGGCAGGAAAGGCUUCGGCCGGACAGGGAUGGGCAUGCGGCGCAUUAGGCAGUAGGCGGGGUAACGGCCCACCUAACCGACGAUGCGUAGGGGUUCUGAGAGGAAGGUCCCCCACACUGGUACUGAGACACGGACCAGACUCCUACGGAAGGCAGCAG
rnacentral:rRNA from 1 species